AUAGCAGAAAGGUUCAGGGUAUGAGUUCUGGGUCAGCCUGGCUUGGUUCCCAUCCUGGCUCUCCUAAUUUCCUAGUUAAACUCUCAGCGUCCUCAUCUGUCAAAUGAAGACAAUUAAAACACCCAUUCACAGGGCUGUGAUGGGACUUAAAUGAGAUAAUCCAGGUGAGGCAUUUAGAAUGGUUUGGCCCAGAGAGAAAACUCUAAUUUUUUUAGUGUGUGAGGCACUAUUGCUUCAGACCAUUUAGGAAGUAACAAGAAGCCACCCAGAAGGCCAGAAAUAAAACCCAGCUCCUGUUUCCCAUGGCUUUUCUCAAACCUCUAGAAAACACUUCUUCCCACCUUAUUCAAGUAAGCUCAUAUUCUUGGGAAAUCAACAAGUGGGUACACGGACAGAGUCCCCAAGUCUGUCUCCUCCUUCAGUAGCCUGGCACCUCUCCCAGCUCUAAUCUCUCUCUGCAGCUGGGAACCGGCAGGUUCACAGCCUCCUUGGUUUUCAGUCUCACAAGCUCUGGCGGAGUCUCUAUGUGGCACUUCUUAUCCCAGGAGGGACACACUUGUCGGCUGAGUCAUGGAAUGAAAGACAUGCCAUUAAAACGCCAGCAUGUCUCAAUGACAAUGUGAAGACAGAUCAAAGCUGGGAGGAAGAACCUGUCACCUCCUGAGCCGUCGGGGAUGAGGAAUUUUAAGAGGUAAAGACGUUUAGAGACUAAACCAGAGACCUAUCCCAGCCCUCUGCAGCUUCAGAACCUGUCCUCAACCACCACCACCACCUAAGACCUUAUCAAGGACCAGAAGACAAUUUUGUCAGUCCCAAGUCCCAGAAGAACUCUACAGCUAAGUGCCACAGGCUGGACAAGUGUGUAUUUUCCCACAUUGCUGUCAUUUUUUUUAAGGCAAUCUGAUCUUCUAUCAACCUGAAAGGGACAGAAACUCACAUGGGGCACAAAGGACGUAUGGUCUACAUCUUGGUGAUUGGUUUAAAGUAAAGCAUGUGUUUGGUACCGGGAAAACUUAAAAUAUGACUUCUGAAUAAAAUUAUGUAUUGUUUCCAUCUUUUUUCCUAUAGGUACAAAGAUAUUCGUAUCACUGAGGUUUUGGAGUUAUAUAGUAUGACUAUA